rfam:Ciona intestinalis ciona0335, whole genome shotgun sequence.
AAGAUCAUGCUUUUAGGGAUCAUUUCUAUAGUAUGCAUCUUGAAAACGUCAUUCAAUUUUGACGAUACGACAACUACGAUGAUGAGUCGUAGGGUUCCCUUCUGAGCAUGAAGCUUGGCUUAUGCGACUUCGGUCACUAUAGCUUUUGAGGAAUGUUCUUACUGCUUUUUUUGAGGUAGUAAGAGGAAGGGAACCCUUGCUGAGUAGU